GAGCGAAGUUUUGCAGCGCGGAGCUGCCGCCCUGCGCGGGCGCCUCUCCCGGCUGCGCUCCGAGGGACGCGCCUAAGAUGAGCGGCUGUCGGAAGCGCUGCAAGCGGGAAAUACUGAAAUUUGCCCAGUACCUGCUCAGGCUGAUCACGGGGUCCCUGCACACAGACACUGUAGAAGAUGAAA